rnacentral:rRNA from 1 species
CCUACGGGAGGCAGCAGUGAGGAAUAUUGGUCAAUGGGCGGAAGUCUGAACCAGCCAAGUAGCGUGAAGGAUGACUGCCCUACGGGUUGUAAACUUCUUUUGUACAGGAAUAAAGUUAGACACGUGUGCCUUUUUGUAUGUACUUUAUGAAUAAGGAUCGGCUAAUUCCGUGCCAGCAGCCGCGGUAAUACGGAGGAUCCAAGCGUUAUCCGGAUUUAUUGGGUUUAAAGGGUGCGUAGAUGGAUUGUUAAGUCAGUUGUGAAAGGUUGCGGCUCAACCGGAAAAUUGCAAUUGAUACUGGCAGCCUUGAGUAUAGUUGCGGUAGGCGGAAUGCGUGGUGUAGCGGUGAAAUGCUUAGAGAUCACGCAGAACUCCGAUUGCGAAGGCAGCUUACUAAACUGCCACUGACAUUGAGGCUCGAAAGUGUGGGUAGCAAACAGGAUUAGAUACCCUGGUAGUC